rnacentral:rRNA from 1 species
ACUGAUUAGAGCGGCGGACGGGUGAGUAACGCGUGGGAAUCUACCUUAUAGUGGGGGACAACAACCGGAAACGGUUGCUAAUACCGCAUACGCCCUAAGGGGGAAAGCAGGGGAUCUUCGGACCUUGUGCUAUUAGAUGAGCCCGCGUCAGAUUAGCUAGUUGGUAGGGUAAAGGCCUACCAAGGCGACGAUCUGUAGCUGGUCUGAGAGGAUGAUCAGCCACACUGGAACUGAGACACGGUCCAGACUCC